GCAGAACGCGAAGAACCUUACCCAGGCUUGACAUCCUGCUCAUUUCUCCGAAAGGAGAGAGUGCCUUCGGGCCGCAGUGACAGGUGAUGCAUGGCCGUCGUCAGCUCGUGUCGUGAGAUGUUUGGUUAAGUCCAUCAACGAGCGCAACCCCUAUUGUUAGUUGCUACGCAAGAGCACUCUAGCGAGACUGCCGUUGACAAAACGGAAGGAAGGUGGGGACGACGUCAAAUACAUCAUGCCCCUUACUGUCUAGGGCCGACACACGUGCUACAAUGGUGAGUACAACGAGAGGCGAACCCGCGAGGGGAGCUAAACUACAAAACUACAUCUCAGUUCGGAUUGCAGGCUGCAACUCGCCUGCAUGAAGCUGGAGUCGCUAGUAAUCGCGAAUCAGAAUGUCGCGGUGAAUACGUUCCCGGGUCUUGUACACAC
rnacentral:rRNA from 1 species